UUUUGACAAAGGCAAACUUAUUGAAAAGUAAGGACGCAAAGCCACGGACCUAAGGAUGAUCUAUGGUAGCCGGGUUACCGAA
rnacentral:ncRNA from 1 species